UGCAGUGUUUUUUCUUUCAAAAUGAAAAUGUCUUUAUUCAAGCUCCCUGGGAAGAGUUCCACUCCCACCCUUGUUGAAUGAAGCUUGCCACUGAGCAAGCCCUUUAGCCACCAGCCUCUCAACAGUCCACAUGUCUAACAUGGGAAGAGCUAACACUCACAUAGUGCUUCCUGGUGUGCCAGGCUUGGUUCUAAGAACAUUAGAGAUUAUAUUGUGUGUGUUUUUUUUUAAUCAGAAAGUUUGCUAUAUAUGGAGAAACCAAGGCAUGGAGAGGUUAGUGUCCAAAGCUGGCAUUAUCCAUCCAUCCAGGGCUUUCCAGAAUCAUAAUUACUAUCACAUAGGGCCUUUUGUCAGCUUUUCAUCACUGUGACCAUAGUACCUGGAUAUAGCAACUUGAAGCAGGAGAGUUAUUUUGGCUCGUGGUUUCA
rnacentral:lncRNA from 1 species